UACAGAGGUCUCAAGCGUUGUUCGGAUUCAUUGGGCGUAAAGGGUGCGUAGGUGGCGCUGUAAGUCGGGUGUGAAAUUUCGGAGCUUAACUCCGAAACUGCAUUCGAUACUGCGGUGCUUGAGGACUGGAGAGGAGACUGGAAUUCAUGGUGUAGCGGUGAAAUGCGUAGAUAUCGUAAGGAAGACCAGUGGCGAAGGCGGGUCUCUGGACAGUUCCUGACACUGAGGCACGAAGGCCAGGGGAGCAAACGGG
rnacentral:rRNA from 1 species